rnacentral:rRNA from 1 species
UACGUAGGCAGCGAGCGUUGUUCGGAGUUACUGGGCGUAAAGGGUGUGUAGGCGGUUGUUUAAGUUUGGUGUGAAAUCUCCCGGCUCAACUGGGAGGGUGCGCCGAAUACUGAAUGACUUGGAGUGCGGGAGAGGUGAGUGGAAUUCCUGGUGUAGCGGUGAAAUGCGUAGAUAUCGGGAGGAACACCGGUGGUGUAGACGGCUCACUGGACCGUAACUGACGCUGAGACACGAAAGCGUGGGUAGCAAACAGG